rnacentral:tRNA from 1 species
GGGCUAUUAGCUCAGGUGGUUAGAGCGCACCCCUGAUAAGGGUGAGAUCCUUAGUUCGAGUCCAGGGUGGCCCA